UGCCAGCCGCCGCGGUAAGACGAAGGUGGCGAACGUUGCUCGGAAUUACUGGGCAUAAAGCGCGCGCAGGUGGCUUGGUAAGCGGAGAAUGAAAUCCCAUGGCUCACCCAUGGAACUGUUCUCCGAACUGCCUUGCUUGAGGGCGGGAGGGGGAAGUGGAAUUCCUGGUGUAGCGGUGAAAUGCGUAGAUAUCAGGAGGAACGCCGGUGGCGAAAGCGACUAACUGGACUGAUACUGACGCUGAGGUGCGAAAGUGUGGGGAGCAAACAGGAUUAGAUA
rnacentral:rRNA from 1 species